GAUGGCUGAGGAAGAGCAAAAUUUCAACUUGACAAUCACAGAUGACUGCUGAAGCAGAUACAACCACUGAGGCAAAAAUCUGAUUGCAAGGAACCUGAACUCCCUGACUUGAACACCUGCAAAGGACAGGGAUUAGGGCCCUUAGGUACACUACUCUGCACCCAGGAGUUACAAAUCACUAACACUCUGAACUGUGACUUUUCUGGCGUCCCAUUCAGAUGAUUUUUAUGAUGUAUGUGGUUUUUAUUUGCUCUGUGGGCUUGCACAAGCCAUCCUAAGACCUUCAUGGUAAAAUUUCAAUCCUGUCUCAAAUUGACAGUUUAAACCCUUAAUAAAGCCUUAUAUUUUAAAGCACACAUACACACACACACAUACAUGUCAGGCCUCUGAACCCAAGCCAAGCCAUCGCAUCCCCUGUGACUUGCAUGUAUAUGCCCAGAUGGCCUGAAGUAACUGAAGAAUCACAAAAGAAGUGAAAACGCCCUGCCCCGCCUUAACUGAUGACAUUCCACCAUUGUGAUUUGUUCCUGCCCCACCUUAGCUGAGUGAUUAACCCUGUGAAUUUCCUUCUCCUGGCUCAGAAGCUCCCCGACUGAGCACCUUGUGACCCCCGCCCCUGCCCACCAGAGAACAACCCCCUUUGACUGUAAUUUUCCAUUACCUUCCCAAAUCCUAUAAAACGGCCCCACCCCUAUCUCCCUUCGCUGACUCUCUUUUCGGACUCAGCCCGCCUGCACCCAGGUGAAAUAGACAGCCAUGUUGCUCACACAAAGCCUGUUUGCUGGUCUCUUCACACUGACUCGAGUGAAAUUUGGUGCCGUGACUAGGAUCGGGGGACCUCCCUUGGGAGAUCAAUCCCCCGUCCUCCUACACUUUGCUCUGUGAGAAAGAUCCACCUACAACCUCAGGUCCUCAGACCAACCAGCCCAAGAAACAUCUCACCAAUUUCAAAUCCGGUAAGCGGCCUCUUUUUACUCUUUUCUCCAGCUUCCCUCACUGUCCCUCAACCUCUUUCUCCUUUCAAUCUUGGUGCCACACUUCAAUCUCUCCCUUCUCUUAAUUUCAAUUCCUUUCAUUUUCUGGUAGAGACAAAGGAGACACGUUUUAUCCGUGGACCCAAAACUCCGGCGCCAGUCACGGACUGGGAAGGCAGCCUUCCCUUGGUGUUAAAUCACUGCAGGGACGCCUCUCUGAUUAUUCACCCAUGUUUCAAAGGUGUCAGACCACGCAGGGACGCCUGCCUUGGUCCUUCACCCUUAGUGGCAAGUCCUGCUUUUCUGGGGAAGGGGCAAGUACCCCAACCCCUUCUCUCUGUGUCUCUACCCCUUCUCUGCUUUUCUGGGGGAGGGGCAAGUACCCCUCAACCCCUUCUCCUUCACCCUUAGUGACAAGUCCUGCUUUUCUAGGAGGCAAGAACCCCCAAUCCCUUAUUUCCACACCCUGACCUCUUAUCUCUGUGCCCCAAUCCCUUAUUUCCACACCCCAACCUCUUAUCUCUGUGCCCCAAUCCCUUAUUUCCGUGCCCCAACCCCCCUUCCCACUUUUCUGGAGGAUAAGAACCCCCGAACCCCUUCCCUCCGUGUCUCUAUGCUCUCUUUUCUCUGGGUUUGCCUCCUUCACUAUGGGCAACCUUCCACCUACCAUUCCUCCUUCUUCUCCUUUAGCCUAUAUUCUUAAGAAUUUAAAACCUCUUCAACUCUCACCUGACCUAAAAUCUAAGCAUCUUAUUUUCUUCUGCAAUGCCACUUGACCCCAAUACAAACUUGACAGUAGUUCCAAAUAGCCAGAAAAUGGCACUUCCAAUUUUUCCAUCCUACAAGAUCUAAAUAAUUCUUUUCGUAAAAUGGGCAAAUGGUCUGAGGUGCCUGACAUCCAGGCAUUCUUUUACACAAUAGUCCCUUCCUAGUCUCUGUGCCCAGUGCAACUUCUCCCAAAUCUUCCUUCUUUCCCUCCUGCCUGUCCCCUCAGUCCCAACCCCAAGCAUCGCUGAGUCUUUCUAAUCUUCCUUUUCUACAGACCCAUCUGACCUCUCCCCUCCUUGCCAGGCCAAGCUACGUCCCAAUUCUUCCUCAGCCUCCGCUCCUCCACCCUGCAAUCUUUUUAUCACCUCCCCUCCUCACACCUGGUCCUGCUUACAGUUUCAUUCUGUGACUAGCCCUCCCCCACCUGCCCAGCAAUUUACUCUUAAAAAAGUGGCUGGAGCCAAAGGCAUAGUCAAGGUUAAUGCUCCUUUUUCUUUAUGCCAAAUCAGAAGUGUUUAGGCUCUUUUUCAUCAAAUAUAAAAACCCAGCCCAGUUCAUGGCUCGUUUGGCAGCAACCCUGAGACGCUUCACAGCCCUAGACCCUAAAAGGUCAAAAGGCCAUCUUAUUCUCAAUAUACAUUUUAUUACCCAAUCUGCUCCUAACAUUAAAUAAAACCCCAAAAAUUGGAAUCUGGUCCUCAAACCCCACAACAGGACUUAAUUAACCUCACCUUCAAGGUGUACAAUAAUAAAAAAAAGUUGCAAUUCCUUGCCUCCACUGUGAGACAAAGCCCAGCCACAUCUCCAGCACACAAGAACUUCCAAACCCCUGAACUGCAGCAGUCAGGCAUUCCUCCAGAACCUCCUCCCCCAGGAGCUUGCUACAAGUGCCAGAAAUCUGACCACCAGGCCAAGGACUGCCGGCAGCCCAGGAUUCCUCCUAAGCCACGUCCCAUCUGUGUGGGACCCCACUGCAAAUCGGACUGUUCAACUCACCUGGCAGCCACUCCCAGAGCCCCUGGAACUCUGGCCCAAGGCUCUCUGACUGACUCCUUCCCAGAUCUUCUCGGCUUAGCGGCUGAAGACUGACACUGCCCGAUUGCCUCGGAAGCCCCCUAGACCAUCAUGGACGCCGAGCUUCAGGUAACUCUCACAGUGGAAGGUAAGCCCGUCCCCUUCUUAAUCAAUAUGGAGGCUACCCACUCCACAUUACCUUCUUUUUAAGGGCCUAUUUCCGUUGCCUCCAUAACUGUUGUGGGUAUUGACGGCCAGGCUUCUAAACCUCUUAAAACUCCCCAACUCUGGUGCCAACUUAGACAAUACUCUUUUAAGCACUCCUUUUUAGUUAUCCCCACCUGCCCAGUUCCCUUAUUAGGCUGAGACACUUUAACUAAAUUAUCUGCUUCCCUGACUAUUCCUGGACUACAGCUAUAUCUCAUUGCCGCCCUUCUUCCCAAUCCAAAGCCUCCUUUGCAUCCUCCUCUUGUAUCUCCCCAACUUAACCCACAAGUAUAAGAUACCUCUACUCCCUCCUUGGUGACCGAUCAUGCACCCCUUACCAUCUCAUUAAAACCUAAUCACCCUUACCCCACUCAACGCCAAUAUCCCAUCCCACAGCACGCUUUAAAAAGAUUAAAGCCUGUUAUCACUGGCCUGCUACAGCACAGCCUUUUAAAGCCUAUAAACUCUCCUUACAAUUCACCCAUUUUACCUGUCCUAAAACCAGACAAGCCUUACAACUUAGUUCAGGAUCUAUGCCUUAUCAACCAAAUUGUUUUGCCUAUCCACCCCGUGGUGCCAAAACCAUAUACUCUCCUAUCCUCAAUCCCUGCCUCUACAACCCAUUAUUCUGUUCUAGAUCUCAAACAUGCUUUCUUUACUAUUCCUUUGCACCCUUAAUCCCAGCCUCUCUUCGCUUUCACUUGGACUGACCCUGACACCCAUCAAGCUCAGCAAAUUACCUAGGCUGUACUGCCGCAAACCUUCACAGACAGCCCCCAUUAUUUCAAUCAAGCCCAAAUUUCUUCCUCAUCUGUUACCUAUCUUGGCAUAAUUCUCAUAAAAACACACAUGCUCUCCCUGCCAUUCUUGUCAGACUGAUCUCUCAAACCCCAGCACCUUCUACAAAACAACAACUCCCUUCCUUCCUAGGCAUAGUUGGUGCAGUCAGAAUUCUUACACAAGAGCCAGGACCGCACCCUGUAGCCUUUCUGUCCAAACAACUUGACCUUACUGUUUUAGCCUAGCCCUCAUGUCUGCGUGCAGCGGCUGCCGCUGCUUUAAUACCGUUAGAGGCCCUAAAAAUCACAAACUAUGCUCAACUCACUCUCUACAUUUCUCAUAACUCCCAAAAUCUAUUUUCUUCCUCAUACCUGAUGCAUAUACUUUCUGCUCCCUGGCUCCUUCAGCUGUACUCACUCUUUAAGUCCUACAAUUACCAUUGUUCCUGGCCCGGACUUCAAUAAGGCCUCUCACAUUAUUCCUGAUACCACACCUGACCCCCAUGACUGUAUCUCUCUGAUCCACCUGAUAUUCACCAUUUCCCCAUAUUUCCUUCUUUCCUGUUCCCCACCCUGAUCACGCUUGAUUUAUUGAUGGCAGUUCCACCAGGCCUAAUCGCCACACACAAGCAAAGGCAGGCUAUGCUGUAGUACAAGCCACUAGCCCGCCUCUCAGAACCUCUCAUUUCCUUUCCAUCCUGGAAAUCUAUCCUCAAGGAAAUAACUUCUCAGUGUUCCAUCUGCUAUUCUACUACUCCUCAGGGAUUAUUCAGGCCCCCUCCCUUCCCUACACAUCAAGCUUGAGGAUUUGCCCCCACCCAGGACUGGCAAAUUAGCUUUACUCAACAUUCCGGAGCCAGGAAACUAAAAUACCUCUUAGGCUGAAUAGACACUUUCACUGAAUAAGUAAAGGCCUUUCCUACAGGGUCUGAGAAGGCCACCGCAGUCAUUUCUUCCCUUCUGUCAGACAUAAUUCCUCAGUUUAGCCUUCCCACCUCUAUACAGUCUGAUAACAGACCAGCCUUUAUUAGUCAAAUCAGCCAAGCAGUUUUUCAGGCCCUUAGUAUUCAGUGAAACCUUUACAUCCUUUACGGUCCUCCGUCUUCAAGAAAAGUAGAAUGGACUAAAGGUCUUUUAAAAACACACCUCACCAAGCUCAGCCACCAACUUAAAAAGGACUGGACAAUACUUUUACCACUUUCGCUUCUCAGAAUUCAGGCCUGUCCUCAGAAUGUUACAGGAUACAGCCCAUUUAAGCUCCUGUAUAGAUGCUCCUUUUUAUUAGGCCCCAGUCUCAUUCAACACCAGACCAACUUAGACUGUGCCCCAAAAAAACUUGUCAUCCCUACUAUCUUCUGUCUAGUCAUACUCCUAUUCACCAUUCUCAACUACUCAUACAUGCCCUGCUCUUGUUUACACUGCCGGUUUACACUGUUUCUCCAAGCCAUCACAGCUGAUAUCUCCUGGUGCUAUCCCCAAACUGCCACUCUAAACUCUUGAAGUAAAUAAAUAAUCUUUGCUGGCAAGGCUAGGCUGAACCUCCUUGGGCACUCUCUAAUCAGAUGUCCUAGGUCCUCCCAAUUCUUAGACCUUUUAUACCUGUUUUUCUCCUUCUCUUAUUCCAUUUAGUUUUUCAAUUCAUACAAAACCGUAUCCAGGCCAUCACCAAUCAUUCUAUACGACAAAUGUUUCUUCUAACAACCCCACAGUAUCACCCCUUACCGCAAGAUCUUUCUUCAGCUUAAUCUCUCCCACUCUAGGUUCCCACACCGCCCCUAAUCCCACUCAAAGCACCCCUGAGAAACAUCGCCCAUUCUCUCUCCAUACCACCUGCAAAAAUUUUCGCCGCCCCAACACUUCAACACUAUUUUGUUUUAUUUUUCUUAUUAAUAAAAGAAGGCAGGAAUGUCGGGCCUCUGAGCCCAAGCCAAGCCAUCGCAUCCCCUGUGACUUGCAUGUAUAUGCCCAGAUGGCCUGAAGUAACUGAAGAAUCACAAAAGAAGUAAAAAGGCCCUGCCCUGCCUUAACAGAUGACAUUCCACCAUUGUGAUUUGUUCCUGCCCCACCUUAGCUGAGUGAUUAACCCUGUGAAUUUCCUUCUCCUGGCUCAGAAGCUCCCCGACUGAGCACCUUGUGACCCCCGCCCCUGCCCACCAGAGAACAACCCCCUUUGACUGUAAUUUUCCAUUACCUUCCCAAAUCCUAUAAAAUGGCCCCACCCCAUGUCCCUUCGCUGACUCUCUUUUUGGACUCAGCCCGCCUGCACCCAGGUGAAAUAGACAGCCAUGUUGCUCACACAAAGCCUGUUUGCUGGUCUCUUCACACGGACUCGAGUGAAAAUACACACGCACACACACACAAAUGGACAUUUACCCCACUCCUGCUUUUGUGCUAUUGUGGUCAUGCAUAGUAUUUCUUUUUUGCUGUUGUUUUUCUUGUUGUUUUCACUGUCAUACAGGUAUUUAUGAUGGAAACAGAAUCAGAGUCUGACCUUCCUGACUUGAAGUACAAGUGAUAGAUCACAACAAGAGAUCAUGAAGAGGGCAUGGCCGCCAUGUCAUUCUGGAGAGAGACAGAGUAAAACAAAGAAGGUGAUGGGUAAAGCGCAGUCGCCUGCUAUAUAUUGUCUAUUUUUGGUUUUUCACUUACCUUUUAUAUUUAUGCCUUUUAUGUACAACAGGAUUAUAAGCAGCUUGAGUCCAGUGAAUAUACCAUUUCAUUUUGCUAUCCUUCACUGCACUUAGCUUAGAGGAAAUAAUCACAGCUUAUUAUUGAUUAAUUAAUUAAUAGAUGAAUGGUGAACAGAUGAUUAUCAUCCCAAGAAAUGGGAUUUUUUUAAUUCUGGGCAACUAGGAAAGUUUUUAGCUACAGAGAAAUAUUGACAUGGGCAACAACUUCAUCUUACAGCAAAAAGUCCUUUUUUUUUUUUUUUUUUUCUUUUUGGAGACAGAGUCUUGUUCUGCAACCCAGGCUGGAGUGGAGGGCAGUGGUGUGAUCUCGGCUCACUUCAACCUCCGCCUCUUAGGUUCAAGUGAUUCUCCUGCCUCAGCCUCCCGAGUAGCUGGGACUACAGCAGCCUCUCUACAAGUCUCCUAACUUAACCUGAUGGGAAAACACUUCCUACCACUAACAGCAUCUACUUGAUUACUGAUACUUUGAUCAUGGAGUUUGGGCAUGCCACUUGAUAGAAAUUUGAAGAGCAAUUAUAUUUUUCAAAAAGAGUUUUGAAUAAUGUUAAGAUAGAUUGCAACAUGACUAUCAAUUCUUCCCUUCCCAUCAAAGGAGAGAGUCCGUUUAUCCAGCCUUUGAAUCUUGAUUAUUCAUGUGACUUGCUUCACCCAAUGUAACAUUAAUAAGCACAAUACAAGCAGAGGCUUGCCAAGAACUUGGUUUGUUUCUAAUGCUUAGAAGAAGAAUGGUGUAUGCCAUAUUUCUGCAUUUAGAACUCACGUGGAGACAUGUGUGGCCCAAUUGCUUCUCUUUCAUCUCAGGCAAUAACCAGACACGGGACUGAGGCCAUCCAUGACCAGCCAGCCCUAGCCAACACACAACACACAAGCUGAUCACAGAUGCAUGAGUAAGCCUGAGACCAGCCAAGACCAGCCUAGAAUAGAACUGCUCAGCAGCAAUAAAAACUAAAUAAAUUGUUACCUUAAGCUACUUUUAGAGCUAUUUGGAAGUGUAUUUUUGUGCAGCUAACAUUUACUAGCAGAUAAAAUGGUGAUUGUUUAUCUCUGUUUUAUUGAUGUUUUAAGGAAAUUGUUUCUAUUAAAAGGAAAUAUCUGGUCUUUGUCACGUUAAAUCAGGUUUAGCCUGAAGUUGUCUCCUUAAAUUUGCGGCACAACUCCCACCCUGCAAUACUUCAAAUUGUUUCACCUUUUUUGACAGAACCAAGGUAUAUCUUAAAUGUACUUGAUUGAUGUCUCAUGUCUCCCUAAAAUGUAUAAAACCAAACUGUGCUCUGACUACCUUGGGUACAUGUUCUGAGGGUCUCCUGAAGGCUGUGUCACAGGCCAUGGUCUUUCAUAUUUGGCUUAAAACAAAUCUCUUCAAAUAUUUUAUGUAGUUUGACUCUUUUCCUCAAUAGAACUCAUCAUUUAACCAGUUAAGUAUUUUGAGUUAGUUUGGGAUUAAACACGAGAGUUUUGACAGGGAGCUGAAACAAUAGUAGUUUCAUCAAAAGUUGAUUCUUGGUGCAUGUAAUUUUCUAUUACAGUGAACACAGAUAAUAAUGAUGCAUAUGUCUUUACCUAGAUUAGAGAAAGGAAGAGAAAAAAUAAAAAUUUUGGAAAUGAGAUAAAAAGAUAUUGAUCUCACUGAUGUUUCUGAAUCUAAGACUGAACUCAAUUAUUAGUUGUAUUUACUGCUUAUUAGAUUUACUAAGAAAGUUCUUUAAGGUACUUACAGCCCUAAAAUUAUUUGCAAUAUUCAAUAGCAAGGGACUUAAAUACAGUCCUGAUUACUCCAUCACAAAAUGCCAAAAACAAUUAGGAUCUUAAAGGAACUACCCAAAUAGGUUUAAGAUAUCACUCAGGCCAUAAAAAUGUUUUUAAAAUUCACAUCACAAAAUAGCCAAAUGACAUAUCAGAAACAAAAGCAAAAAAGUCAUCCUAAUUCAAGGCAAUUACUUUAGCAAUUCAAAAUAAAAUGUUAAAAGUGACCAAAAAACAAAUGCAAAAUAUUUUAAUGACUUUAAAUGGCUGUAUAAUUUCCUCAUCACUUCACUUGGCAGAGUUAAGAUGGCAUUUAACCUAAGUUCACAUCAUUAAAAAAAACACUGCACCAUGAUGCUUUUCUUAAUAUGCAUUCUCAAAUUAGCAUACAGAGAAAAAUGAAACUAUAGUAGAGACGUAAAUUUAAUCCCUAUUUAGGUCACUAGGCAUUUAUUAGCCCCACCACAGGUUAAUACACUUGCAUUUGCAUCUGUUUCUAAAUGCUAAUUAUCUGACCUCAGAACACUCACUUAUGGGCUUCAUUUAUUGAAAAACAAAUCCCUAUGAUUUGAUCGUAGAGUAACUUUUAAUGUCUAACUUUACGUAGUAUAUUACAGUUUUCAAAACAUUUUUAUAAAAAGUAUUUUGUUUAUUUACAGCAACUAUAUAUCAUAGAUAUUAAUGUGUAUAUUUUGCAUUUAAGCAAGUUGGAGUUCGUAAGGUUGAAUUACUUGAAAUGUACAAAUAGAUAGUAGUGAAUAUUUAAAGUACAUUUUUAAAAAUAUGACCCAGAAAAAUAGGUGGCAUUUAAGAAAUAUAAGCAUGGUAUCUAUCUUACAUGUAUAUUAGGAGUGGACAGUUUUCUAAGAUUAGAAGCAAACAGUUGUCAAGCAAGGGUUCUAAUUUUUGUAAGUCUUGUGGGAAAGAAAGAUAAUAGAGGGUUUCAUUGCAAAGAUAUAAAACUACUCUAGAUAAUUUAAGCAAAAACUAAUCUAAUAAAUUGGGUUUUCCAAAUUAUUGAAACACCUUGAGAACUAGUGCCUGGGUAGGCCUGGAGAAAUGACUCCAGGAACAGCAUUACAGAACUCACCUGCCCAGUGGUAACAGUGCCCAGAUUGCUCUUCUCCAUUAUCCAGCCAGAGUUCCAGAUCAGCCUGAAUACUUCACCUCUGGGAAGACUUUGCAGAACCUCCAGAUUUAUGCCACCUCUAUAACCUGUGUAAUAUUAUUACAAUGCAUAUUAUGUUCUAUUUCACUUACAGUCAGCCCUCCUUAUCUGUGGGUUCCACAAACAUGGAUUCAACCCACAGUAAAAUGAAAAUAUUUGGGGAAAAAAUUAAUGUUUGAGUCUGUAUUGAACACGUAGACUUUUUCUUGUCACUGUUCCCUAAACAAUACAGUAUAACAACUAUUUACAUAGUAUUUACAUUAUAUUGGGCAUUAUAAGUAAUUAAAGAUGAUUUAAGUAUAUGGAAAGAUGUAUAUAGGUUAUAUGCAAGUACUGUGCCAUUUUAUAUAAAGCACUUGAACAUCACAGAUUUUGGUAUCAAUGAGGGGUGCUGAAACCAAUUGCCCAUGGAUACCAAGAGACAGCUAUAUUUGUUUCAAUGUGUACCUCUCCUUCUAAACUCAGUUCUUAAGCAUAUAGUAUCUUUAUAGCUAUACACCUAGUGUCUAUCAGACCCUAAACUAUGGUAGGCCCUCAAUACAUUUUAUUGUUAUAGGUAGAUAGAUAGGCAUGAGUAGGGCAGGAGAGGGCUCUCCCUCCACCCACUAGAAAUGUCAAGUGAUGUUUUAAAAAUUGUCACACUGCCUCUCAGAAAAUGAUAAUUCAGCAACCGGGGAGAGACAAUCUUCUGAUGGUCCACACCUAUUAACAUUAAAGUGUUAUUAAAGGCAGACCCCAGAAAGAAGAAACUUACUGGGCAUGCACAUUAAGAGAUAAAAACGGCAAAAUAUUAUCUUCCACGUACCCACAACUGGAAAAAAGGAAGAAAGCUUCAGUGAGAAAUUCCUAAAAAGAUAAGCAGCAUGACAAAGAAGACAAAGGGAAGAUGCCAGACAACCUGGAAAUUGGAUAAUGGAGACCCAGGGAGGGUAUAAAAGAGAAACUACUUUGUAAUAAUUUAUAUUGAUUAUUCCUUUCAAUAGAUUUUGUGGAGUAGUUCAAUAUUCCCAUAAUCCAUUCUUUGUCACCUGAAGGAAAGGUGAAUGAGAUAGCUCAGAAGUUCCAUAACAAGGCAGUGGCAGGUUUGAGACCAUUGCUUUGUGUUUCUUAAUUUACCUGCCUUUUGUGUGUAUGAUGAGGAUUCCUGCCCUCUUAGCCACUAGUAAAAAAAAGAGAUAAAAAGUAUCAAGGUUUUUUUUUACUAUCAAAUUUUCUUUUUUAACUUGGCCAUCUCUGUCACCAAAUACAUUCUUACACAGAUAUAGUCUUAAAAUUUGUACAUAGUACAAAGCUAUCCACAAUAUUUGUGUUGAAUACAACACAUGUAUAUACAAGCAAGAAACUAACAUGAAUAACAAGUGAUGAGCUAAAGAUUCAUUCUCAAUUAGCCUUUUGUUUUUAUAAAGGGUGUGUGGCUGUUUUUCAUGUCAGUGAUCGUUGGUGUGAAACCAAUAUAGAGUCAGGAGAACAUACUCAUUGUAAUCAUACAUAAUUUAGGACUAGAUGAUGCUUUUUCAACUUCAUUGUGUAUAAAAUAGAUUUAAUUAUGUUGAAGAUGAUGUACAGAAAUGAGUUACUUAGUUACUGAAUGAACUAGCCAAAAUUUCAGCAUUCAUAUCUCAUCAACUGUUGCUAUUUAUCAUUCAAACCUUUAGUAACUCUCAGGAAUCUGAACUUUACUGACUUAUGUGAGAAAUGCACAAGCCACAGAAGUAUUCACAAAUUUAGAAAUCUACUAAGCUCUCAGAAUAUGUAUUUGCAAGAUAAGGUGAACUUUUAUCCCCUGGGACAAACCUGUGUUACACUGAUUGACUCAGCAUUAUAAUUAGUAGUGCCCUUUCACUAUUGAUAUGCUCUUUAUUAGAUGAUGGAUUAAAUGGCUUUCUGGGUCAUUGAUUACAAGAUUCUAUCUUAUAACCAUAUUUUAAUAUUAAAUAUUUAUCAAGAUGUUCAUGUACUAUAUCAGCAAAAAAUUACUAAAUGUAUAUAAGGUGGUUUUGACCUUGCCACUCAAUUAUUUACUAAAAGACUAAGAUGCUCUCUCAAGUAAAUACCUCGCUUUGGUAAAGUUCCAUUACUAAAACUCUCAAGUAUCUGAACUUUUCAUUAUGCUUCCCUAUACUUCUUUUUCAAUCCAGUUUGUCAGUGCCUGUUCAUAGCCUAAUAGAGCAGUUCUCACAGUAUUAGGGGUCAUCAACACUCUGUCAGUGCGUACACGACUAUUUUUAAAAUAAACUAAAAUGCUGUUUGUCUUUUUCACUCUUAUUCUCUAAUGAGUGUCUGGUACAGUUUUCCAGAGGUUACAUGAUGUGUGAUGAUAUCAUCACUCUGAUAGCUAAUGGAAAGUAUGACUGUAUAUUCUGUAAUGUUCCAGGAGUUUCUGAGGUUUAGGUUUAGGUUAUAAAAGGGGGCAUAUGUUCAGAGAUUAACUCAAUUUUUUCUCAGUACUUCUAUUGUGUUUUUACUAAGUACCUUUUCUUAUAUUUGCUAUAAUCUGUAUAAACUUAUUGUCAUACAAUAAAUCAAUAUUUUAAAAUCCCAAUGAUUUCUUUAUGACUACACAAAAACAAGUAGUAAUC
rnacentral:lncRNA from 10 species